GGUCGAGUGACCCCGCGCCGAAAAUGUACCGGGGCUAAACAUAUUACCGAAACUGUGGAUGAACCUCUUUAGAGGUUCGUGGUAGGAGAGCGUUCUAAGGGCGGUGAAGUCAGACCGGAAGGACUGGUGGAGCGCUUAGAAGUGAGAAUGCCGGUAUGAGUAGCGAAAGAAGGGUGAGAAUCCCUUCCACCGAAUAUCUAAGGUUUCCUGAGGAAGGCUCGUCCGCUCAGGGUUAGUCGGGACCUAAGCCGAGGCCGAUAGGCGUAGGCGAUGGACAACAGGUAGAGAUUCCUGUACCAGUG
rnacentral:rRNA from 1 species